UACGUAGGCAGCGAGCGUUGUUCGGAGUUACUGGGCGUAAAGGGUGCGUAGGCGGUUGUUUAGGUUUGGUGUGAAAUCUCCCGGCUCAACUGGGAGGGUGCGCCGAAUACUGAAUGACUAGAGUGCGGGAGAGGAUAGUGGAAUUCCUGGUGUAGCGGUGAAAUGCGUAGAUAUCAGGAGGAACACCGGUGGUGUAGACGGCUAUCUGGACCGUAACUGACGCUGAGGCACGAAAGCGUGGGUAGCAAACAGG
rnacentral:rRNA from 1 species